rnacentral:misc_RNA from 2 species
AACGCACAUUGCGCCCUUUGGUAUUCCUUAGGGCAUGCCUGUUCGAGCGUCAUUUAAACCUUCAAGCUCUGCUUGGUGUUGGGUGUCUGUCCCGCCUCGGCGCGGACUCGCCUUAAAUUCAUUGGCGGCCGGUACAUUGGCUUCGAGCGCAGCAGAAACGCGAACUCGGAGACUUUGGAUCAGCUCCCAGAAGCUAUUUUCUAUUUUUGACCUCGGAUCAGGUAGGGAUACCCGCUGAACUUAA